rfam:Oryza rufipogon genomic scaffold, chr09
UUUAAGUGCAACUAUCAGUUUCUACGCUAAACUUUGAUCGUCCGUCUUAUUUGAAAUUUUUUAUUUAGUAUUUUUGUUGUUAUGAGAUGAUAAAACAUGAAUAGUACUUUACUCAUGACUUAUGUUCUUUUAAUUUUUUCAAAUAAAACGGACGAUGGAAGUUAGACACGGAAACCAUGGCUGCACUUAAA